rnacentral:lncRNA from 1 species
GAACUUCUCUUGGAACCACAACAGAAAAUGUAUAAUCUCUGGGGACAUUAAAAAAAAAAAAAAAAAAACUGAUUUCACAGGUCGAUGGCAGAGUUGACUUUUUGACUUUUGCAUCUGCAGAGAGAAAACAAGAAAUGACAAAGUUCAACUUGAGUUGGACAGUGUGGUGUGACAACAAAAAAGUAUGUCAGCAGCAAAAGGAGGUCUAAGUAAAACAUUGGACUGAUACUUCAAGAAGAUGGUCACCUACCAAGUAAUGCUGCGGUCUUACUGAUGCAAAUUACAAAUGCAAGUCAGAGGAUCUAUAUGGGAAAUUCCACAACCAUGGAGAGUAUUAAGCGAAGUUCAUGUUUAUGCCUCCUUUUUGUGGUAAAUGAAAUUAUAUUUAUGGGAUCUCUCUCCAUUUACUACAGGAUGUUCUUUCCUCGAGUCAGAGUUUGAAGAGAGAUACAGAAGCUUUUGUGGUCUGUCUUCAGAAGAAUGGGAUUAAGUUAUUACACAAAGAAUUGUAUGUAAUAUAGUUUAGAUUAAUAAGGAGACUAGGCUUCCUAGGCUGUUAGUUUAAUUUUAAUUCCCAUUGCUGGAGAGUAAGAAGAUUUGAAUAUACAAAUUUGGCUGCUGAUUAUCCUACUCUGAAUGUUGUUUGGGAAUUACAGAUUGUAACUAUUACUGUUGCAUCUUUCUGACAGUUUUUAUUACCCUCCAUAUUCAGAUGAGCUUGCUGACUGAACUUGUCACUAUUUAAAUAUGUUCUGUACUUAAGUAGCCCAAGUUGCAAACCCAGCUGAACCGGGACACUUUUGCUGAAGAACGGAUUUUCAAUCCCUUGCAGGGCUGAACAGUCCAGUCCAAGUGGUUUCUUGAAGUUGGACAUCUCUUUUAACUGUUAAAAAUUGAAAGCAUUUGUAGACAAUCAAUACAUUAUACAGCCAUUAUCAUUUCCAGGCACUUACUGUUCAUUGAAAAUCCAUUAUCCAUAAAUGAGCAUUCACCAGACAGCAUGUAGCACUAGUUCACAGCAUAGUUCAAAUUUAUAUCUGAGAAAAUUAUAUCAUAGCAAGUAGCUUUGACCUGUCACCAUUUCAUCCUCACCUUCCUUAUCUAUAACCAAAAAAAAACCUUCUUGACUGCUCUUUUAAAAAAAAAAAAAAAACAUUCACACUUUUUUUUUUACUUUUCUUUUUCUUCUCCGUACUUAUUAUAAGCAUAGAACAAACAGGUCAUCUUCUACUCAUUCACAAUAUUACUGACUGCUCUUAGAGAACAGAAGUUAUAAUUCCUCUUCCAUGCUAAUUUCUUUGCUUUUCAUUACACAACAUGGACAUAAAUUACAAAGCAAAUGUGAUGUGAUAAGAGUACCUAACUAUUUGCACCGAACCUAUCAUAACCACUGAUUCUAAACAUGUAUUAACUAAUAAAAUUGGAGAAGCUUAUUGGAGGCCUGAUUAG